AAAGGGUCGCUAAUACCGCAUGACAUCCUGCUUUUGGAGAAGCGGAGAUCAUAGACGACAUCGAAAAAAGACCUGGCGCUCAGAGAGGGGCCCGCGGCCGAUUAGCUAGUUGGUGAGGUAACGGCUCACCAAGGCGACGAUCGGUAUCCGGCCUGAGAGGGCGGACGGACACACUGGGACUGAGACACGGCCCAGACUCCUACGGGAGGCAGCAGUGGGGAAUUGUUCGCAAUGGGCGCAAGCCUGACGACGCAACGCCGCGUGGAGGAUGAAGAUCUUCGGG
rnacentral:rRNA from 1 species